CCCUUAGACGUUCUGGGCCGCACGCGCGCUACACUGACGAAGGCAACGAGCUUUCCUUUACCGAAAGGUACGGGUAAUCUUUUGAAACUUCGUCGUGCUGGGGAUAGAUCCUUGCAAUUUUUGAUCUUAAACGAGGAAUGCCUAGUAAGCGCAAGUCAUCAACUUGCGUUGAUUACGUCCCUGCCCUUUGUACACACCGCCCGUCGCUACUACCGAUUGAAUGGUUUAGUGAGGCCCUCGGAUCCGCGACUCGUUUGUGGAGAAGUUGGACAAACUCAGUCAUUUAGAGGAAGUAAAAGUCGUAACA
rnacentral:rRNA from 1 species